UCGAGGCUGAGCUUCUGGUUGGCGGCGGUGGCGCCGCUGCUGUCGGCGUGGCCAAGCACCAGCACGGCGGUCUUGGUGUCGGUCUCGAU
rnacentral:tRNA from 1 species